UGGAGGUCAGAAGUAGCCCUGGAGCCUGCGGGGUGGAGGUCAGAGGCCGCCCUGGAGCCUGCGGGGUGGAGGUCAGAAGCAGCCCCUGCAGUCCCAGCCUUGCGGAGCUGCCUGACCCGGGCCUGGUGCCGGGCGUGGGCUGCAGAAACUGCUUCAACCAGCUUCAAGAGACUUAAGUGGAACAAAGAACUUUGCAGCGAAUCAAAGGGCAACCCAGUGAAUGGAAGGAACAGGGAACUGGAACAGGGUCUGCUGGUGUGCAGGCGUGUGUUCUUAAAAGCACGUCAUCCCAAUGCCAAGACAAGACAUGAAGUAUUGAGCAGCGAAAGGAGACUUGAUCCAGUAAAAUAUUUUACAUCCCCCCACUGCCAAAAAUUGCAAUAGUCAUACAUGAUUUUAGUGUGAAAGAGAAUCCCGUAUCAAUGUAUCUGUCUGCAUAACACCUCUGAGCACUUCACAAAUUUGUCUUACCUGGUGUGCUGAUUGCCUGAGUCGGACUGGGGUUUUUGGUACUCCACUGUCCAUAGAGUUUCACUCCUUUAAAUUGGUUACUUUUUAAAAUGCUAUUUUGAUGACUCUUAGCACUUCAUCAUUUCCCUUCAUUAACACGGUGCAGAUGGAUGUCCGUGUGUUCAUUCAUUUCUAUUUUCAUAGCAAAUAAUCUUUGGAAAUAUUAUUAGUUGCUAGUAGCUUCAGCAGUCACCUCUCACAGUGUUUCUAGUGUAACACUUCCUGUUUGUAUGGCAGACGGCAGCUUGAGUUUUUAAUGCUAAAUUUUUGUUCUUUUUACCCAGUUUAUUCUUUGGGAUCAUGUGACUUCAAGGCUGACUGAUUUCUCUGAUGCUGGUUGUGUAGUGAACACUUCUCUGGGAUAGCUCAGUGGUUUGAGCAUUGGCCUCCUAAACCCAGGGUUGUGAGUUAAAUCCUUGAGGGGGCCGUUGGGGGCAAAAAUCUAGCUGGGGAUUGGUCCUGCUUUGAGCAGGAGGUUGGACUAAAUGACCUCCUGAGGUCCCUUCCAACUCUGAUAUUCUAUUAUUCUUUCCUGAGCAGACAUAUUUGCAUCUGAAUGACUGUGACCCCCCCGCCCCCCACCCUGUUCAUGUGGAUGUCAUGGAAAUAAAAAAAAAACAAAUUUUAAACUAAAGAAAUUAACCAAGGCUUCAAGCCCUUUAAUUUCCCUUCUUCAGGGCUUGUCUACAUGGUGUGAUGCUAAAGGUGUGAAGUUAAUGCGCCGUAAACCCCUGUGUGGAUGAUCUCGUUCAGAAGUAAAGUCACCUUAGUUAUGACUAUAGUAGUCUUGGCAACCAUAGCAGAUUGCAAGAGUCCUUCCCAAAAAACGCUAUUAUUCAUCAGACCUUUGAUGUGUCCGGAACACUUAAAAAAUUUUGUAUAGUCCAAGUGUAACCCACAUUUGAUUUUUCAAAGAGAAGGAGCAAAGCAGUGGGGCACUCAUCUUAAUUUUCCUGAGUGUUGCCCUGUGUGGAAAAGUCAUUACGAUAUUUCCCAGGUCUCAAUUUUGGCCUGACAAAAUUUCAAUAAAUGGUUUAAGGUUGAAAUUUAAGAUGAUCUCGCCUCUUCUCUCUGCCCUCCGCUGGUCUGGGCAUCUGUUAUGAGCAGGAGAAUGAAGGCCGGAUAGUGUUCUCAUGGUAGAUCCAGCUGUGCGCACAGAGGGUGUUGGCCUGGCUGUAUAGGGAUACUCUCUAUAAGCGAUGUAUAGAAAUUCUUGUCCCAAUAGAAUUAACCAAUCAAUCCACAUUUUUGGUGCUGACUGUGAAAUUCCUCUUUGAUCUCAGCCACUAGCUGCUCACUAAUCACAUGUCAUAUAAAGCUUAUCUGUUACUAUGUGCUCCCUGGGGAAUUUAGCUCACAAACACAGCAUUGUCUCUGACAUUUUCAUGGUAAUAUUAAUGGCUGCGAUAUCUGCAUAGGUGUGAGAACACAGCUUGAGAGGCUGUAAUAAAAAUAUUUUCAGCUCACUUAA